GGAGAGGUGGCCGAGUGGCCGAAGGCGCUCCCCUGCUAAGGGAGUAUGGGCUUUAUAUCCCAUCGAGGGUUCGAAUCCCUCCUUCUCCGCCA
rnacentral:tRNA from 2 species